GAUGAACGCUGGCGGCGUGCCUAAUACAUGCAAGUCGGACGCGAUGCUUCUGGCAUCGAGUGGCGAACGGGUGAGUAAUACAUAAGCAACCUGCCCCAACGAGGGGGAUAACUGCUGGAAACGGCAGCUAAGACCGCAUAGGCAUAUCAACCGCAUGGGAGAUAUGUUAAAUAUCCUACGGGAUAGCGAUGGGAUGGGCUUAUGGCGCAUUAGCUAGUUGGUGAGGUAACGGCCCACCAAGGCGACGAUGCGUAGCCGACCUGAGAGGGUGGACGGCCACACUGGGACUGAGACACGGCCCAGACUCCUACGGGAGGCAGCAGUAGGGAAUUUUCGGCAAUGGGCGAAAGCCUGACCGAGCAACGCCGCGUGAAGGAAGAAGUCAUUCGUGAUGUAAACUUCUGUUAUAAAGGAAGAAUGGCGCCUGUAGGGAAUGACAGGCGAGUGACGGUACUU
rnacentral:rRNA from 1 species